rnacentral:rRNA from 1 species
GAUGAACGCUGGCGGCGUGCCUAAUACAUGCAAGUCGAGCGAACAGACGAGGAGCUUGCUCCUCUGACGUUAGCGGCGGACGGGUGAGUAACACGUGGAUAACCUACCUAUAAGACUGGGAUAACUUCGGGAAACCGGAGCUAAUACCGGAUAAUAUAUUGAACCGCAUGGUUCAAUAGUGAAAGACGGUUUUGCUGUCACUUAUAGAUGGAUCCGCGCCGCAUUAGCUAGUUGGUAAGGUAACGGCUUACCAAGGCGACGAUGUGUAGCCGACCUGAGAGGGUGAUCGGCCACACUGGAACUGAGACACGGUCCAGACUCCUACGGGAGGCAGCAGUAGGGAAUCUUCCGCAAUGGGCGAAAGCCUGACGGAGCAACGCCGCGUGAGUGAUGAAGGUCUUCGGAUCGUAAAACUCUGUUAUUAGGGAAGAACAAAUGUGUAAGUAACUAUGCACGUCUUGACGGUACCUAAUCAGAAAGCCACGGCUAACUACGUG